GGGAACCACAAGGUUGGUGGUGUAAAUGUCUGAUUUAAAUUGCAAUUCUCCUACACAAUAUUCUAUUCAUGUGUUAACAAGGUCCGUUCUGCUUUUAUUUUGAAAAGCGCCGUUUUCUUCUUCUUAUGUUUUUUUUGUGACGCUAACUUCCUGCUACUUACCAUUUGCAACGUGGAAGUCACGCAUCGUCGAAGCAAGGGUAAAACUUGUAAACUUAUUAGUUAUGUAUUGUGUUAAAUACAUUCGAAUGAUGUAAAGAAAGUUUAAAUCGUAAUUUAUUUCAUGAUUUUGUAUUGUUCGUACCUGUCAUUUCAAAAAGCUCCUAAUUAUGAGGGUGUGCCGAGAUGCUAGCUGGUGGUGGAAAUUCCUUUGAUUAGCGCCCUUGGAGAGCGGAUUGAGUGUUCACGAUGUUCAAAUUGUUCACGACGUCAUGGUGCUUCUGGUGCUCGUCGAGAGAAACAAAAUAAAUCAACACCCGUUUGAAACUC